rnacentral:rRNA from 1 species
CGAAAGCCUGACGGAGCAAUACCGCGUGAGGGAGGAAGGCUUUUGGGUUGUAAACCUCUUUUGUCAGGGAAGAAAAUUUGACGGUACCUGAAGAAAAAGCAUCGGCUAACUCCGUGCCAGCAGCCGCGGUAAUACGGAGGAUGCAAGCGUUAUCCGGAAUAAUUGGGCGUAAAGGGUCCGCAGGUGGCCAUUCAAGUCUGCUGUCAAAGACCGUGGCUCAACCACGGAAAGGCAGUGGAAACUGUUUAGCUAGAGUACGGUAGGGGUAGAGGGAAUUCCCAGUGUAGCGGUGAAAUGCGUAGAUAUUGGGAAGAACACCGGUGGCGAAAGCGCUCUACUGGGCCGAAACUGACACUGAGGGACGAAAGCUAGGGUAGCGAAAGGGAUUAGAUACCCCUGUAGUCUUAGCUGUAAACGAUGGAUACUAGGUGUAGCUUGUAUCGACCCGAGCUGUGCCGAAGCUAACGCGUUAAGUAUCCCGCCUGGGGAGUACGCACGCAAGUGUGAAACUCAAAGGAAUUGACGGGGGCCCGCACAAGCGGUGGAGUAUGUGGUUUAAUUCGAUGCAACGCGAAGAACCUUACCAGGGCUUGACAUGUGGCGAAUCUCUGUGAAAGCAGGGAGUGCCUUAGGGAGCGCCAACACAGGUGGUGCAUGGCUGUCGUCAGCUCGUGUCGUGAGAUGUUGGGUUAAGUCCCGCAACGAGCGCAACCCUCGUUUUUAGUUGCCAUUUUAAUGGCUCUCUAGAGAGACUGCCGGGGACAACUCGGAGGAAGGUGGGGAUGACGUCAAGUCAGCAUGCCCCUUACGCCCUGGGCUACACACGUACUACAAUGGUUGGGACAAAGGGCAGCAAACCCGCGAGGGCAAGCGAAUCUCAUCAAACCCAGCCUCAGUUCAGAUUGCAGGCUGCAACUCGCCUGCAUGAAGGAGGAAUCGCUAGUAAUCGCAGGUCAGCAUACUGCGGUGAAUUCGUUCCCGGGCCUUGUACACACCGCCCGUCACACCAUGGAAGCUGGCUACGCCCGAAGUCGUUACCCUAACCCUUAGGGGAGGGGGAUGCCGAAGGUAGAGCUAGUGACUGGGGUGAAGUCGUAACAAGGUAGCCGUACCGGAAGGUGUGGCUGGAUCACCUCCUUUA